CCCUUAGAUGUUCUGGGCCGCACGCGCGCUACACUGACGAAGUCAGCGAGCAUGUCCUACGCCGACAGGUGCGGGGAAUCUUGUCAAACUUCGUCGUGAUGGGGAUUGAUUAUUGAAAUUCUUGAUCAUCAACGAGGAAUUCCUAGUAAGCGCAAGUCAGCAGCUUGCGUUGAUUACGUCCCUGCCCUUUGUACACACCGCCCGUCGCUACUACCGAUUGAAUGGUUUAGUGAGAUCUUCGGAUUGGUGCCACUGUGGCUCGGCAACGGGCCCGGUGGAUAUCGAGAAGUUGAUCAAACUUGAUCAUUUAGAGGAAGUAAAAGUCGUAACA
rnacentral:rRNA from 1 species